rnacentral:rRNA from 1 species
UACGUAGGGGGCAAGCGUUGUCCGGAAUUAUUGGGCGUAAAGAGCGUGUAGGCGGCCAGAUAAGUCCGCUGUGAAAACCUAAGGCUCAACCUUGGGCUUGCAGUGGGUACGGGCAGACUAGAGUGCGGUAGGGGUGACUGGAAUUCCUGGUGUAGCGGUGGAAUGCGCAGAUAUCAGGAGGAACACCGAUGGCGAAGGCAGGUCACUGGGCCGCAACUGACGCUGAGGAGCGAAAGCAUGGGGAGCGAACAGG